rnacentral:rRNA from 1 species
UAUUUGACUCAACGCGGGAAAUCUUACCGGGUCCGGACACACUGAGGAUUGACAGGCAAUAUAUGUGACUCUUCGGAGUUUGCAUUGUUAAAUAUGCUAGUCCUUUCAUGAUUAUGUGAUAGGUGGUGCAUGGCCGUUCUUAGUUCGUGGAGUGAUCUGUCUGCUUAAUUGCGUUUCAAAUUACUUAUAAGGUAGCAAUACGCGAUGAAACUUUCAAUAGUCCUCACGGAUUCACUUGAGUUGACUCGCUUCGCUAUCCUUUCGAAUGCAACGAACGUGACCGCAACCUCUUGUUGCCUUCGUUUAACAUCCUGCAGCUCGCUGUGGGUACUGAGGGCUUCACUCGGUGAC